AAGUAUAAUCCUGGACCAUGACUUAAUGUUAGCUCUGCUUUGUCUUUUGGAUGGCCUAACCUACAUUAACAUGAAGGCUGAACAUUUUUAAACUUUUUUUUUUCAAAAAUCAUUAUAUUUACCUUAUUAAUAAAUAAAAAUAAAGUCUUGUAUUUGAACAGAUUUUUGUUGUUAUAAAGUGGUAUAUAUCAAAUGAGAGAAUAACUGUUAUUUUGAUCCUUUUGGAAAUUUGGUAAAAUAGUGUUUAGUUAGAGAAGUAGCUAAUAAUUUGCGCUAACCACAUCUGAGACAGGUGCUAUUUGAGUGCAAACGUAUUGUAGUUUAUGUAGGCCAGAGAUUGCUUAUUCAGAACGUUUUAAGUUUGCUUUUUCUGAACAUGUUAACUUUCAAUUCAAAAGUCACUUUAGGAUUGUAAGUACCUUGGAAACCCUGUAAAAGUUGAACUGUGGUUGUCAGAAUGCUGAAUAAUGGGUUUUAUCUUGUGUAGAAUUCUUUCUGACAUUUGUAUUCUCAUUCCUUUCCAAAUCAGCGGUUUUGUUAUUUGAGGCUGCUGGAUAAAACAGGAAGGUUCUGAGAGCCGUGAUUCCAAUUUUUAGACUAGCAAAAUUUCAAAACGUUUGCAAGAACCAGUAGAGAUGCAGCAGCCUUUUCUGUUUUAAUUGGCGGGACGGCAGGGGGGGUGGUAAUUUAGAGCACCGUGUUUGAGGUAGGAAGGAGGACAGACUACUAACUGGUCAAGAGGCCAUUGUGACACCAAGAGCAGUAGUGACAUCACAUCGGCCUUACUUUUCUCACUUCUCGUAAGUUAGCUUUUCGGAACCAUUCUGGAAAAGACGUUGGCCUCUUUUACCUGUUUUAUACUCAGGUACUCCAGAAUCUGGAGGGAUGAAAACUAACAUUUAGUCUUUUGCGUGUAACAGGUUUUUAUGAAUGUUUUAACAGCUCUGUGAAGUUAGCCUCAUUUUCUUGAACCCCUGCAUAUCUGUGCCUUCCAUUUGAUAAAGAGGAUUUAAGGUUCCUUAACCCCCCUCCUGCUGUUCUUCCGGCAAGAAUGUCACCACCUGUCAGCCCAUUCUCCAUACAAGAGACCACGAUGAAGGCAUUUGAAGAAGAGGCCACGUGUA
rnacentral:lncRNA from 1 species